rnacentral:rRNA from 1 species
CAUGCAAGUCGAACGAGAAACUUGGUUCGCCAAGUGGACAGUGGCAGACGGUUGAGUAACGCGUGGGAAUCUACCUAGAGGUUCGGAAUAACUAUUGGAAACGAUAGCUAAUACCGGAUAAGCCCUUCGGGGGAAAGAUUUAUUGCCUUUAGAUGAGCCCGCGUCGGAUUAGCUAGUUGGUAAGGUAACGGCUUACCAAAGCUACGAUCCGUAGCUGAUCUGAGAGGAUGAUCAGCCAGAUUGGGACUGAGACACGGCCCAGACUCCUACGGGAGGCAGCAGUAGGGAAUAUUGCGCAAUGGGGGAAACCCUGACGCAGCGAUGCCGCGUGAGUGAAGAAGGCCUUAGGGUUGUAAAACUCUUUCAGUGGUGAAGAUAAUGACGGUAACCACAGAAGAAGCUCCGGCUAACUCCGUGCCAGCAGCCGCGGUAAUACGGAGGGGGCUAACGUUGUUCGGAAUUACUGGGCGUAAAGCGCGCGUAGGCGGAUUAGACAGUUGAGGGUGAAAUCCCGGAGCUUAACUUCGGAACUGCCCCCAAUACUACUAAUCUAGAGUUCGGAAGAGGUGAGUGGAAUUCCUAGUGUAGAGGUGAAAUUCGUAGAUAUUAGGAAGAACAUCAGAGGCGAAGGCGGCUCACUGGUCCGAUACUGACG